rnacentral:misc_RNA from 1 species
CCGAGUUUACAACUCCCAAACCCCUGUGAACAUACCUAUCGUUGCUUCGGCGGGAUCGCCCCGGUGCCUUCGGGCCCGGACCCAGGCGCCCGCCGGAGGACCCAAACUCUUGUUUUAUUAAGUAUCUUCUGAGUAAACAAGCAAAUAAAUUA